UCUGACAACCCUAGAGAUAGGGCUUCUCCUUCGGGAGCAGAGUGACAGGUGGUGCAUGGUUGUCGUCAGCUCGUGUCGUGAGAUGUUGGGUUAAGUCCCGCAACGAGCGCAACCCUUGAUCUUAGUUGCCAUCAUUUAGUUGGGCACUCUAAGGUGACUGCCGGUGACAAACCGGAGGAAGGUGGGGAUGACGUCAAAUCAUCAUGCCCCUUAUGACCUGGGCUACACACGUGCUACAAUGGACGGUACAAAGAGCUGCAAGACCGCGAGGUGGAGCUAAUCUCAUAAAACCGUUCUCAGUUCGGAUUGUAGGCUGCAACUCGCCUACAUGAAGCUGGAAUCGCUAGUAAUCGCGGAUCAGCAUGCCGCGGUGAAUACGUUCCCGGGCCUUGUACACACCGCCCGUCACACCACGAGAGUUUGUAACACCCGAAGUCGGUGGGGUAACCUUUUUGGAGCCAGCCGCCUAAGGUGGGACAGAUGAUUGGGGUGAAGUCGUAACAAGGUAGCCGUAUCGGAAGGUGCGGCUGGAUCACCUCCUUU
rnacentral:rRNA from 1 species